AGUAAAAUGAUGAGGUUUCUUGUAUCUGAAUUUUGAUGUGGAAUCUCAUGUCCCAAUGGUCUUCAAAGUUCUCUGAUUACU